rnacentral:tRNA from 1 species
GGGUUGUAGUUUAGGUGGUAAAACAUCAAGCUCAUAACUUGAAUGAUAGAAGUUCAAUUCUUCUCAACCUGAG